AUCCAACAUCUAUAUAUAUCCAUACACCAUUCAGCACUGGUUCACAUUCAUGAUUUGAACAUAAAAUCACAACUAUUAGUUAAAAUGUUUCCAACUCAGAAACGGAUUUUGAAAUACUAAGUUAUGAAAACUACGAAAAAUCUUUUGAAAGCUGUUUUCCACAUGAAAACUCUUUUCUUUUAAAACGCGCUACCACGAGGGGUAGAAAAUUAUUUUUCUUUUCACAAAUUCCACAAAUCCCUUUAUUACAUUCAUGAAAACCCACAUUUUCAAAUGUAAUAAAAAUACUGAACCAUAUAAACUAUCUGAGCUAUAUCAACAUAAUAGUAAGGAUAGAAACUAAACAGAAUAACCUGGGUCGGAAGCUCAAUCGACCGCUACGAACGUGUCUCACAUCUCGUCUCGACACUCACCGCCCGCGAU
rnacentral:lncRNA from 1 species